rnacentral:rRNA from 1 species
UAAUUCUGGGAAAAAAGUCGUAACAAGGUCUCCGUAGGUGAACCUGCGGAGGGAUCAUUA